AUUGAACGCUGGCGGCAGGCCUAACACAUGCAAGUCGAACGAGCGGCGGACGGGUGAGUAAUGUAUGGGAAACUGCCUGAUGGAGGGGGAUAACUACUGGAAACGGUAGCUAAUACCGCAUACCAUCAGAUGCACCCAGAUGGGAUUAGCUAGUGGGUGGGGUAACGGCUCACCUAGGCGACGAUCCCUAGCUGGGCUGAGAGGAUGAUCAGCCACACUGGGACUGAGACACGGCCCAGACUCCUACGGGAGGCAGCAGUGGGGAAUAUUGCACAAUGGGCGCAAGCCUGAUGCAGCCAUGCCGCGUGUAUGAAGAAGGCCUUCGGGUUGUAAAGUACUUUCAGCCGGGAGGCGUUACCGACAGAAGAAGCACCGGCUAACUCCGUGCCAGCCGCCGCGGUAAUAC
rnacentral:rRNA from 1 species